AACCUCUAGAUUUCUUACUCUUCAGAUGUAAAUAUUGGUUUGAAUGGCUGAAAAAGAGGAUAAGGAAAACUGAACUAGACUUGGAGUCUUUAUUGACGUACAAGUUCAUUUCAAAUAUGG
rnacentral:snoRNA from 1 species